UGGCUCAGAGGUUAAAGCAUCUGCCUGGAAUGCGGGAGACCCAGGUUCAAUCCCUGG
rfam:TPA: Bos taurus chromosome 14, whole genome shotgun sequence.